rnacentral:rRNA from 1 species
GAUGAACGCUAGCGGCAGGCUUAAUACAUGCAAGUCGUGGGGCAGCAUGGUGUAGCAAUACACUGAUGGCGACCGGCAAACGGGUGCGGAACACGUACGCAACCUUCCUUUAAGUGGAGAAUAGCCCGGGGAAACCCGGAUUAAUACUCCGUAACAUUAUGAAGUGGCAUCAUUUUAUAAUUAUAGCUCCGGCGCUUAAAGAUGGGCGUGCGCCUGAUUAGGUAGUUGGCGGGGUAACGGCCCACCAAGCCUACGAUCAGUAACUGGUGUGAGAGCACGACCAGUCACACGGGCACUGAGACACGGGCCCGACUCCUACGGGAGGCAGCAGUAAGGAAUAUUGGUCAAUGGACGCAAGUCUGAACCAGCCAUGCCGCGUGGAGGAUGAAGGUCCUCUGGAUUGUAAACUUCUUUUAUUUGGGAAGAAACCCACGAUUUCUAUUGUGGUUGACGGUACCAGAUGAAUAAGCACCGGCUAACUCCGUGCCAGCAGCCGCGGUAAUACGGAGGGUGCAAGCGUUAUCCGGAUUCACUGGGUUUAAAGGGUGCGUAGGCGGGUUGGUAAGUCCGUGGUGAAAUCUCCAAGCUUAACUUGGAAACUGCCGUGGAUACUCUCA